CUUCUUCCAAGCCUUUCCCAUCUUAAGCCACACUCUAGAAAGCUUUCUCAGCCUUCCCUUCUUACAGCUUGUACCACCUUUCCACUGGUUUGAUCUCUUGUUCUCUUCCCACACAUCACACGCAUGAAGAAUAAGAACCCAUAUCUCCUUCACAAGAAAGCUAAAGAACACAUCUUGUUUCCUCCUUUCUUUAAUAACUCUCGGAUCAGAUGUGCUUGGUCUCAGCACAUCCAGCUCCAUCCAUCCUUCUUUCAGCCUUCCCACAAGCUGAUACAACUCAUCCUUUCCUUGUCUCAGGCCACAGAUCACUCUCUUGUCUCCACUGACCUUCACAAGUUUGGACCUUUCU
rnacentral:lncRNA from 1 species